rnacentral:rRNA from 1 species
AAACUGAAGAGUUUGAUCCUGGCUCAGAUUGAACGCUAGCGGCAUGCCUUACACAUGCAAGUCGAACGGCAGCGCGGACUUCGGUCUGGCGGCGAGUGGCGAACGGGUGAGUAAUGCAUCGGAACGUGCCCAGUAGCGGGGGAUAACUACGCGAAAGCGUAGCUAAUACCGCAUACGCCCUACGGGGGAAAGGGGGGGAUCGCAAGACCUCUCACUAUUGGAGCGGCCGAUGUCGGAUUAGCUAGUUGGUGGGGUAAAGGCCUACCAAGGCGACGAUCCGUAGCUGGUUUGAGAGGACGACCAGCCACACUGGGACUGAGACACGGCCCAGACUCCUACGGGAGGCAGCAGUGGGGAAUUUUGGACAAUGGGGGCAACCCUGAUCCAGCCAUGCCGCGUGUGCGAAGAAGGCCUUCGGGUUGUAAAGCACUUUUGGCGGGAAAGAAACGGCGCCGGAUAAUACCUGGCGUAACUGACGGUACCCGCAGAAUAAGCACCGGCUAACUACGUGCCAGCAGCCGCGGUAAUACGUAGGGUGCAAGCGUUAAUCGGAAUUACUGGGCGUAAAGCGUGCGCAGGCGGUUCGGAAAGAAAGAUGUGAAAUCCCAGGGCUCAACCUUGGAACUGCAUUUUUAACUCCCGAACUAGAGUAUGUCAGAGGGGGGUGGAAUUCCACGUGUAGCAGUGAAAUGCGUAGAUAUGUGGAGGAACACCGAUGGCGAAGGCAGCCCCCUGGGAUAAUACUGACGCUCAUGCACGAAAGCGUGGGGAGCAAACAGGAUUAGAUACCCUGGUAGUCCACGCCCUAAACGAUGUCAACUAGCUGUUGGGUUCUUCGGAGCUUGGUAGCGCAGCUAACGCGUGAAGUUGACCGCCUGGGGAGUACGGUCGCAAGAUUAAAACUCAAAGGAAUUGACGGGGACCCGCACAAGCGGUGGAUGAUGUGGAUUAAUUCGAUGCAACGCGAAAAACCUUACCUACCCUUGACAUGUCUGGAAUCCUGAAGAGAUUUAGGAGUGCUCGAAAGAGAACCGGAACACAGGUGCUGCAUGGCCGUCGUCAGCUCGUGUCGUGAGAUGUUGGGUUAAGUCCCGCAACGAGCGCAACCCUUGUCAUUAGUUGCUACGAAAGGGCACUCUAAUGAGACUGCCGGUGACAAACCGGAGGAAGGUGGGGAUGACGUCAGGUCCUCAUGGCCCUUAUGGGUAGGGCUUCACACGUCAUACAAUGGUCGGGACAGAGGGCAGCCAACCCGCGAGGGGGAGCCAAUCCCAGAAACCCGAUCGUAGUCCGGAUUGCAGUCUGCAACUCGACUGCAUGAAGUCGGAAUCGCUAGUAAUCGCGGAUCAGCAUGUCGCGGUGAAUACGUUCCCGGGUCUUGUACACACCGCCCGUCACACCAUGGGAGUGGGUUCUACCAGAAGUAGGUAGCCUAACCGUAAGGAGGGCGCUUACCACGGUAGGGUUCAUGACUGGGGUGAAGUCGUAACAAGGUAGCCGUAUCGGAAGGUGCGGCUGGAUCACCUCCUUU